CCUACGGGAGACUGCAGUGGGGAAUGUUGGACAAUGGGCGCAAGCCUGAUCCAGCUAUUCCGCGUGUGGGAUGACGGCCCUCGGGUUGUAAACCACUUUAGUAGAGAACGAAAAGGAGCGAUCGAAUAAAGAGCGCUGCUGACGGUACACGAAGAAGAAGCACCGGCUAACUACGUGCCAGCAGCCGAGGUAAGACGUAGGGUGCGAGCGUUAAUCGGAAUUACUGGGCGUAAAGGGUGUGCAGGCGGCUGAGUAAGACAGAUGUGAAAGCCCCGGGCUUAACCUGGGAACCGCCUAUGGGACUGCUUGGCUAGAGUGCGUCAGAGGUAGGUGGCAUUCCACCUGUAGCCGUGACAUGCUUCGAUAUGUGGCAGAACACCGAUUGCGAAGGCAGCCUCCUGGCACGCAACUGACGCUCAUCCACG
rnacentral:rRNA from 1 species